GAAAAAUUUAGUUAAAUUUAUAACAUUAGUUUGUCAAACUAAAAUUAUUUAAUUAUAAAUAAUUUUU
rnacentral:tRNA from 1 species